rnacentral:lncRNA from 1 species
AUCACUGAAUGUGUCGGCCUUUCCAGAGCAUCAGGAAUGCACACCUCAAGAGGCUAAUUUACCUUUCUAUUUCCCACAUUCAGCAUGUCCCAAAUUACCAUACAACAAGGAGACAAGCCCUUCUUUCUACUUUGCCAGUGAGUUGGGGUUUUUAUACUAAUUUUAACUACACAGUAAACACUAUUUAAGGGAUACGUGUUAAAGUAGCUAAUUUGUUGGAGAACAUUUUCUUUCUACCAGACAGAAUUAUUCAAAGUAUGCAUGUCUGGGCUGGGGAUGUGGCUCAGUGGUGGAGUAACUUGCUCUAGCAUGCACCAGGCCCUGAAUUCAUUCCCUAGUACAAAAAAAAAAAAGGUAAAGUUAAGAUUUGUGGCUCUGUUUGUAUAAUUCAGAGUUUUGACAAAAGAACUAUGUCUUAUGUCAUAGCUUAAGAAAAUUGGAAUCAAAGACUGAGUUCUUUCAGGAAGCCAUUUUGAAUACAACGCAAGAGUGUAGCUGUAUGGGAAAUACCUUGUUUUCCUCAUUCUGGGAGACUUUUUCUGAACUGUUGGUAGUAUUUUAUACUAAGCCACAAGCUUGUGCAAAGCUUAAAGUACUAGUGAGUAGUGUUCUGGGCUGCAGAGAAGUGACCUCACUGAGAUUCCUGUAGCACAGGUGAAGUAGUUAGAGACACAGUUCUGUCUUAGCGCUAUUUGCAUGACUAGAGGCUUAAAGUGUGAAGGCCUCUGGAAGUGUCCUGAAGCCUGUAACAAUGUGUGGUCUAGGCUACCUUCUUCCCUAAGGGAGCUUAGGAGAUGGAGUUUUCCUGCUUUACCGGGAAGCAGAUCAUGGGCUUUGAUAGGCUAAUUACUAAGAGACCUUUUAGAAAUGUGUGUGCUGAUGUCACUUUGUAUGAAACAUGAGUCCUAACAAACAAUAAGAUUUAAUGUUAUUAAAUUUGGGACUAAAUUUUGGGCUAUUUUGGAAUGACUACUCAAUCAUCAGGGUUUUGGAAACAUUUUUACCUUAAAUUUUCAUUAAUUAGUUGCUACUUUUUGGUGCCUGGGAUAAGUUAACAAAUAGAGCCCUUUCAUGUGCUCUUGGAAAAGUAGUCUUAUUGAGAAUGUCCCUGAGGAUUUCAGGAGCACAGUUUGAGGUCUCUAGUGCAGUUAUCCUUACCAUCCUGCUGGCUGUUACAGUCAUAGUCAUUUCCUUGGCAGAUGGCUGAAAGGUCUUGAAUCAUCCCUAAGCACUAACAGCCUGAGCACAGCUUCCUCAUGAAAGGAGUCAGCACUAAAGCCAGCAGCUGUUGUUGGGGAUUUUAGUCACCGCAGUGUUCUGCCCUAGUCCACUGCGGUUUUGCCUCGCCUUAGUGUGAUGUCUUUUAUCCCCUCUGCCCCCUAAAAUCUCCUUGAGUUAUAUCCCCUUUUUGGAAUUAUUGAAGUUGGAGGAUCCUGUUCUGCUUAUUUUCAGUGUUUCCAGUGCUAGUGAUCACGAAUGACUUGUACAUCCAAGGUCAAAAUGAUAGAAACUAUUUACAGAGUGAACAUCUGGUCCUGAGGACUGAAUUCGCUUUUGUUAACCUCAUGACUUAGGGGACUGUUUCUGGAAUCUAGUUAAUGUUAAAAAAAGAGUUGACAUAUUUAGAAUUUUAAAUACUUAAGUCAAGAAGCGCUUUGUCCUCUCACCCAACUCUCGGGAGACUGUUUGAGCCUUGUAAGUAGUAGUUUAGCUGCUGAAUAACGAUUUCAGAACAUCUGAGGGGAUUCAUGGUCUUUCUAGUCUCCCAAGUAGUUAAAUUAACCAGCAGAGGAAAAGCCAUUCAAUCCUGCCCUUGGCUGAGAGCCUUGCUUGCCACUCUCCAAAGACUGCUCUUGGUUACCUUCCCCAGUCUUUUCUGUUCUGUUGUUUCUCUAAUUUCCCUCUCCCUGAUUUUUUUUUUAAAGAUUUAUUUAUUUAUUAUAUGUAAGUACGCUGUAGCUGUCUUCAGACACACCAGAAGAGGGCAUCAAAUCUCAUUACAGAUGGUUGUGAGCCACCAUGUGGUUGCUGGGAUGUGAACUCAGGACCUUCGGAAGAGCAGUCAGUGCUCUUAACUGCUGAGCCAUCUCACCAGCCCCUCUCCCGCUUUUUAUUGCCCUUAGUUUUGCUGUUGCUGGAAUUACAGUGUUGGUUCCCAUUUCCCGAUUUCUCACAUUAUAGUCAAGGGGAAAGGGUUACAUAAGGUACUUGUUUUUUAGGCCUCUUUGAGCCAGAAAGUGAGCAGAUGGAAACAUUUCUCUGGAUGCUCCUGAAAGUGUUUUGUUAAAAUGCAUACUAGGGCCUGGAGAGACAGCUCAGCAGUUCAGAGCACUGGUUACUCUUGCAGAGGAUUCAGGUUUGGUUGCCAGCACCCAUGUGUAACUAUAUCUGUAACUGUAGUUCCAUGGGAUCCAGUAUUCUGUGCUGGUCUCUGUGAGCACUGCACAUGUGUGUGUUGCACUGGCAAAACACUCAUAUGCAUAUAAUAAAAAUCAAUCUUUUUAAAAGAUGUCUAAUAGGGCCAGGAAGGUGGCUCAAUGAUAAGAACACACUUCCUGUGAGAGCCUAGCCUUUAAAUGCCCUUUUAUAUAAAAAUAAAAUUUUAAACUGGAUGUGGUAGUGAAAGUGUGGCCCUGCCAUGUGAAGAGCUAAGGUGGGAGGGUCAGCUGCUGUCAAGCUUGAGGGUUGCGUGGGUUCCACCAAGCCCUGCCUCUAGUUAUUCAAUCUUAAGAACAUGGCUCAGUGUAGCUCAGUGGUAGACUGUGUACUUAGGAUGCAGGAGGCUCUGGCUCCAAUCUUAAGCAUAAACUAUGAGUAAUAAAGCUGUUUGAUUUUGAUCCUGGCUGGGUAUGGUACCCCGGUGCGGAUCCACUUGGAAGAUGGAGUUGGGGAGGGUGGGUUCCAGGCCAACUUAAGCU